rnacentral:rRNA from 1 species
CACGUAGGGCGCAAGCGUUGUCCGGAAUUAUUGGGCGUAAAGAGCUCGUAGGUGGUUUGUUACGUCUGCUGUGAAAACCUAGGGCUUAACCCUGGGCUUGCAGUGGAUACGGGCAGACUAGAGGUAGGUAGGGGAGAAUGGAAUUCCUGGUGUAGCGGUGAAAUGCGCAGAUAUCAGGAGGAACACCGGUGGCGAAGGCGGUUCUCUGGGCCUUACCUGACACUGAGGAGCGAAAGUGUGGGGAGCGAACAGG